rnacentral:SRP_RNA from 1 species
UCGUGCUAGGCGGGGAGGUAGCGGUGCCCUGUACCUGCAAUCCGCUAGAGCAGGGUUGAAUUCCUGUCAUAGGCUUUUUCUUGUAGGGUCUGCCCGCCAUAAGUGGCAAUGAAAACUGGGUCUUGCGCAACGGAAAUCUGUGAACCCCGUCAGGUUCGGAAGAAAGCAGCGGUAAGCAGACACUUUCGUGUGCCGCAAGGUCGCCUGGUUAGAGUUAACUGUGGUGGUUACGCCUGUAAGGAAACGUCGAAGACAGGUGCACGG